UGCCUUGUGGUGUAGUGGUUUGAGUGUCACACUAUGACUCUGGAGACCACGGUUCGAUUCCCCACUUGGCCC